rnacentral:rRNA from 1 species
CCUACGGGAGGCAGCAGUGAGGAAUAUUGGUCAAUGGGCGCUAGCCUGAACCAGCCAAGUAGCGUGAAGGAUGACUGCCCUAUGGGUUGUAAACUUCUUUUAUAAGGGAAUAAAGUGCAGUAUGUAUACUGCUUUGCAUGUACCUUAUGAAUAAGGAUCGGCUAACUCCGUGCCAGCAGCCGCGGUAAUACGGAGGAUCCGAGCGUUAUCCGGAUUUAUUGGGUUUAAAGGGAGCGUAGGCGGGUUGUUAAGUCAGUUGUGAAAGUUUGCGGCUCAACCGUAAAAUUGCAGUUGAUACUGGCAGCCUUGAGUACAGUAGAGGUAGGCGGAAUUCGUGGUGUAGCGGUGAAAUGCUUAGAUAUCACGAAGAACUCCGAUUGCGAAGGCAGCCUGCUGGACUGUAACUGACGCUGAUGCUCGAAAGUGUGGGUAUCAAACAGGAUUAGAUACCCCAGUAGUC